CGAACGCUGGCGGCGUGCUUAACACAUGCAAGUCGAGCGAUGAAGUUUCUUCGGAAAUGGAUUAGCGGCGAACGGGUGAGGAACACGUGAAGAAUCUGCCCUCCACUUUGGGAUAACACCGGGAAACCGGUGCUAAUACCGAAUAUUGAAACAUAAGUGGCAUCACUGAGUUUUGAAAGAAUUUUGGUGGAGGAUGACUUCGCGGCCUAUCAGCUAGUUGGUGAGGUAAUGGCUCACCAAGGCAACGACGGGUAGCCGGCCUGAGAGGGCGACCGGCCACACUGGGACUGAGACACGGCCCAGACUCCUACGGGAGGCAGCAGUGGGGAAUAUUGGGCAAUGGAGGAAACUCUGACCCAGCGACGCCGCGUGAGGGAUGAAGGCCUUCGGUUGUAAACCGCUUUCAGUAGGAAGAAGCGAAAGUGACGGUACCUACAAAGAAGCACCGGCUAACUAUGCGCCAGCAG
rnacentral:rRNA from 1 species